rnacentral:rRNA from 1 species
GAACUUAAGCAUAUCAAUAAGCGGAGGAAAAGAAACCAACAGGGAUUGCCUCAGUAACGGCGAGUGAAGCGGCAACAGCUCAAAUUUGAAAUCUGGCCGCAAGGUCCGAGUUGUAAUUUGUAGAGGAUGCUUUUGGCGAGGUGCCUUCCGAGUUCCCUGGAACGGGACGCCAUAGAGGGUGAGAGCCCCGUACGGUAGGACCACCAAGCCUCUGUAAAGCUCCUUCGACGAGUCGAGUAGUUUGGGAAUGCUGCUCUAAAUGGGAGGUGUACGUCUUCUAAAGCUAAAUACCGGCCAGAGACCGAUAGCGCACAAGUAGAGUGAUCGAAAGAUGAAAAGCACUUUGAAAAGAGGGUUAAAAAGUACGUGAAAUUGUUGAAAGGGAAGCAUUCAUGACCAGACUUGGGCUUGGUUGAACAUCCGGCGUUCUCGCCGGUGCACUCUGCCAGUCCAGGCCAGCAUCAGUUUGCCCCGGGGGAUAAAGGCGGCGGGAAUGUGGCUCCCUUCGGGGAGUGUUAUAGCCCGUCGUGUAAUGCCCUGGGGCGGACUGAGGAACGCGCCUCGGCACGGAUGCUGGCGUAAUGGUCAUCAAUGACCCGUCUUGAAACACGGACCAAGGAGUCGUCUUCGUAUGCGAGUGUUCGGGUGUCAAACCCCUACGCGUAAUGAAAGUGAACGUAGGUGAGAGCUUCGGCGCAUCACCGACCGAUCCUGAUGUUCUCGGAUGGAUUUGAGUAAGAGCAUACGGGGCCGGACCCGAAA